UUAUGGCUCAGGAUGAACGCUAGCGGCAGGCUUAACACAUGCAAGUCGAGGGGCAUCGGGAGUAGCAAUACUUGCCGGCGACCGGCGCAAGGGUGCGUAACGCGUGAGCAACAUGCCCGUAUCAGGGGGAUAAUCCAUGGAAACGUGGUCUAAUACCCCAUAGUAAUUAUGUAAGGCAUCUUAUAUAAUUUAAAGCUUUGGUGGAUACGGAUUGGCUCGCGUGACAUUAGCUGGAUGGUAAGGUAACGGCUUACCAUGGCUACGAUGUCUAGGGGUUCUGAGAGGAAGGUCCCCCACACUGGAACUGAGACACGGUCCAGACUCCUACGGGAGGCAGCAGUGAGGAAUAUUGGACAAUGGAUGGAAAUCUGAUCCAGCCAUGCCGCGUGCAGGAAGACGGCCCUAUGGGUUGUAAACUGCUUUUGUAUGGGAGCAAUAAGGGCUACGAGUAGGUUGAUGAGAGUACCAUACGAAUAAGCACCGGCUAACUCCGUGCCAGCCGCCGC
rnacentral:rRNA from 1 species